AAACUGUCUUAUUCCUUUCACCAAGCCUAACCCCAAUCUCAUAUGAGAAAGGUAAUUAACCACCAUUAUCAAUAUUAUUUAUCUUUCCAGAUUUUUUUUAACUUUUUACUUAUAUAUGUUAGUGACAUUUUCUUUUUUAUGUAUUAGUAAAUAUAAUCAUGGUGUAUGUGUUGGUUUGUUGUAUGAUUCAAUGAAUUAAUAAAUAUUCAGAACUUUUCCUAUC
rnacentral:lncRNA from 1 species